CCUACGGGGGGCAGCAGUGAGGAAUAUUGGUCAAUGGACGAGAGUCUGAACCAGCCAAGUAGCGUGAAGGAUGACUGCCCUAUGGGUUGUAAACUUCUUUUAUAUGGGAAUAAAAUGUUCCACGUGUGGGAUUUUGUAUGUACCAUAUGAAUAAGGAUCGGCUAACUCCGUGCCAGCAGCCGCGGUAAUACGGAGGAUCCGAGCGUUAUCCGGAUUUAUUGGGUUUAAAGGGAGCGUAGGUGGAUUGUUAAGUCAGUUGUGAAAGUUUGCGGCUCAACCGUAAAAUUGCAGUUGAAACUGGCAGUCUUGAGUACAGUAGAGGUGGGCGGAAUUCGUGGUGUAGCGGUGAAAUGCUUAGAUAUCACGAAGAACUCCGAGUGCGAAGGCAGUUCACUGGACUGCAACUGACACUGAGGCUCGAAAGUGUGGGUAUCAAACAGGAUUAGAUACCCUAGUAGUC
rnacentral:rRNA from 1 species